UACGGGGGGAGCAAGCGUUGUUCGGAUUUACUGGGCGUAAAGGGCACGUAGGCGGUCGUGACAAGUCACUUGUGAAAUCUCCGGGCUUAACUCGGAAAGGUCAAGUGAUACUGUCGGACUAGAGUACAGAAGGGGCAACUGGAAUUCUCGGUGUAGCGGUGAAAUGCGUAGAUAUCGAGAGGAACACCUGCGGCGAAGGCGGGUUGCUGGGCCGACACUGACGCUGAGGCGCGAAAGCCAGGGGAGCGAACGGG
rnacentral:rRNA from 1 species